CAAUAGCGUAUAUUAAAGUUGUUGCAGUUAAAAAGCUCGUAGUUGGAUUUCUGAUGAGAGUACGGGUCGGCCUUAACGGGUUGCACUGUUGUUACGUCUCGUCGUUUCGAGGGGAAUGGGUUCGCUAUUAGGUUAGUGGGCUCGGGAACCUUGUCGUUUACUGUGAAAAAAUUAGAGUGUUCAAAGCAGGCCUUUGCUGUGAAUACAUUAGCAUGGAAUAAUAAGAUAGGACUGUAGUGCUAUUUUGUUGGUUUGCGUACUAUGGUAAUGAUUAAUAGGGAUAGUUGGGGGUAUUUAUAUUCCGAUGUCAGAGGUGAAAUUCUUAGAUUUUCGGAAGAUAAACUUAUGCGAAAGCAUUUACCAAGGAUGUUUNCAUUA
rnacentral:rRNA from 1 species